rnacentral:rRNA from 1 species
GUAGCGUAUAUUAAAGUUGUUGCAGUUAAAAAGCUCGUAGUUGGAUUUCUGGUUAAGUAACGCUAGCCCGCCCUUGCCAGGGGUGUGCGCUGGUUAGUUGCUUGCCAUCUUUCUAGAAAGCCAGCGUUUGUCAUUCACUUGGUGGACGUGACGCGAUCUAGAUCUUUUACUUUGAAAAAAUUAGAGUGUUUAAAGCAGGCUUACGCUAUGAAUACAUUAGCAUGGAAUAAUAAUAUAGGACUUUGGUUCUAUUUUGUUGGUUUCUAGGACUGAAGUAAUGAUUGAUAGGGAUAGUUGGGGGUGCUAGUAUUCAGUGGCCAGAGGUGAAAUUCUUGGAUUUAUUGAAGACUAACUACUG